AUACACAUCUAUUUUUAGCUCAUGCCCACUGCAUUCAUGGCAUGGUCCCUGCUUGGAUUCACUCAAUGGCAAGCAGAUUGUUCGGUAACUAUUGCCAUCGCCAUUGCCAUGCGAGAUGAAGAUUGUGGAAUUUUGGCAACCAUGGAAUCAUGUGAAAGAAACCUUCACUUCUCUACAGUGGGUUAGCAGAUAAAGGACAUGCGAGCUUAUCAUCCCAGGAUCUUCUCGAGGUAGGUUAGAUUGAUCAAACAUGGGUGCUACAUGCAAACAAGAAAGAGAGUCAUCAAUCUUGGACAGAUUAAAACAUUUGGUAUGUGCUGCUCUAACCAGAAAUAGAACUAUUGAUGCAUCAGCUACAGCCUACAAGAGAAUGUGGUGUUGGAGACAGUUGACCAAAAAGAGUCUCCUUGGUUUCAUCACUGACCAGAGAUGUCACUAAAUCAAUGUCCAUCAUCGAGGAGAAACUCCAUUACUAUGCUUUCACUCUGCUGCCAGGAGACAAGUUGGUAUUUCUGACUUCCUUCAUUCAUGACUGACUCCGUUUAGAAUUCAGGGACCAAACUCCAUUAAGCUACUGUGAUGCUUAUGUCAUCUUUGAUCAAAGGUUUGUCCUCGACCAGCCUUUCUGACUCAUUUAUAGCUUUUCUGGCGAAAUCAGAUCACUGUCAAAACAGCUCUUUACAGUUCUUGUGAUCUCUGUUUCAGCAAGGCAACCAGAUUCUCUUGAUUUAGGAGACUGGCAUUAAGGGAUGGUUAUUUUGGAUGUUUCAAAAGGACUAUACUAGUGAAACCAAGUAGAGGUCUGAAUCGAUUGAUGUAGAAAAUUAUGGAAUGAGUUAUGAUUAGAGAUGAAAUAUCACUGGAUUAUAAAGCUAACUAAGUUUUUUUCUUGAAUCGAUAUCUGAUCUAGAGAAACUCUGAAUGGUAGAUAUGGCCAUCACUGAAUCCUUAAAAAUGUGUUCAAGUGCAUGCUCUUUGAUGGAUGUCAUGAACAAGACUGCAACAAUCCCUAAACUAUCUUUUUUUGUUUCAGAUGAAUGUUGAGUGGGGAGGGCUGAGAAAGUUCCCAGCCCUCCUCUCUGCUUACUGAAACCUAUUAAUUUUCCAACUCAGUUAUGUUUGUGUCAUUAAAUGGGUGAGCAUUAGGUCCCACCAACCCACUUGGUAUGAUAUCAACCAACCAUUUACUCCUGAAUCAAAUUAUUGCCCAUUUAUUUGUGGCAGGUUGCUCAACUGUCUUUUCCUCAUGGAGGUUGAGUGCUUCAAGUUGCCACAAAUUUCUGUGUAGAUUUGCUACUGUACAUGCAGAUAUUAUCAUAUCAGAAUCGGACUCCUUUUAGUCCCAAGAAAGAUAAAGAGGAUGUCUGAAAAUAUAGCUAAAACCCAUGUGAUAUGGGCUGGCAUUCAUCAUUUGCAAUCUAAAUUUAAUAUUUGGAAUCGAACUCUUCUGUCACUCCAGCUUUUGUCCUGUUGAUUCUGUCAACAAUGCUUUGUCAGUAGUGAUAUGAAUGAUACAAAAUCCCUACAUGUGUCCAUUCCUUAGCAAACACCAUAAAAAAGAAAAGAUGUAGGUUGGAAGUUGGAAAUGAGUCAUGAGAGAGAGAGAGAGAGAGAGAGAGAGAGAGAGAGAGAGAGGUGCUUAACCCUAGCAUAAAGCAAGUCUGCUACUAUACUGUUUCACUUUGCCUUCUAUCAGCAGGAAGAAAGAGCAUAUCAAAUGAGUAUAAU
rnacentral:lncRNA from 1 species